rnacentral:rRNA from 1 species
AGGACGAACGCUGGCGGCGUGCCUAACACAUGCAAGUCGAACGCGCUCCAUUCGGUAGCAAUACUGAUGAAGAGCGAGUGGCGAACGGGUGAGUAGCACGUGAGCAACCUGCCCCGAAGACUGGGACAACACCGGGAAACCGGUGCUAAUACCGGAUAUCCCUAUCGGAUCGCAUGAUCUGAUAAGGAAAUGUUUUUCGCUUCGGGAGGGGCUCGCGGCCUAUCAGCUAGUUGGUGGGGUAACGGCCUACCAAGGCAUCGACGGGUAGCUGGUCUGAGAGGACGAUCAGCCACACUGGGACUGAGACACGGCCCAGACUCCUACGGGAGGCAGCAGUGGGGAAUCUUGCGCAAUGGGCGAAAGCCUGACGCAGCAACGCCGCGUGGAGGACGAAGGCUUUCUGAGUUGUAAACUCCUUUCAGCAGGGACGAUUGUGACGGUACCUGCAGAAGAAGCACCGGCCAACUACGUGCCAGCAGCCGA